UAUGGCAACCCUUCAAGCUUCAAGUUUCUUGUGUUCAUCUUUUUCUUGUUCCUCAAAAGAUUGCCCAAGAGGAAUAAGUACUACAAGGGCUGCUAUGAAUAUACCAAAACUAGCAUUAAAUUCUCUGUCUCUUCCAAACCUUAAAUCUAGAGGUUUUGUGGAGGAGCUAAAGUUUAUAAAAGGUGGUUACACAAAUACCCUUAUUGGGGAAGACUCUCCUUUGAGUCAUUCCGGUUAUACUUCUAACAUUUCUAAUGUUUCUGAUCCGAUGGCAAUCGCGAAGCUUUACGCGAUAAUGGAGGCUGUUGCGGAU
rnacentral:lncRNA from 1 species